CAAUAAGCACUAAAACUGAUUUUUCACAGUUUUCUUCUUCUAUUUCAGAAGCAACACCGAAGACUAUUCUGGACCUGAUGGAUUUAGAUGGACUCAAUCUUUACCAUGUUAAGAGUCAUUUACAAGAAUUACUUGAGUUAGGGGAGAGUGUUGGAACACAAAGUCGGGGUCUCACCCAAGAACUUAUUUCAUUGCUACCUGUUUCAAAAUACAAGUGCAGCUUAUUCUCAAGGAA